UACAGAGGUCUCGAGCGUUGUUCGGAUUCAUUGGGCGUAAAGGGUGCGUAGGUGGCGCUGUAAGUCGGGUGUGAAAUCCUGAGGCUUAACCUCGGAACUGCAUUCGAUACUGCGGCGCUUGAGGACUGGAGAGGAGACUGGAAUUCAUGGUGUAGCAGUGGAAUGCGUAGAGAUCAUGAGGAAGACCAGUGGCGAAGGCGGGUCUCUGGACAGUUCCUGACACUGAGGCACGAAGGCCAGGGGAGCAAACAGG
rnacentral:rRNA from 1 species